rnacentral:rRNA from 2 species
CCGAACCGACUAAUGUUGAAAAAUUAGCGGAUGACCUGUGGCUGGGGGUGAAAGGCCAAUCAAACCGGGAGAUAGCUGGUUCUCCCCGAAAGCUAUUUAGGUAGCGCCUCGUGAAUUCAUCUCCGGGGGUAGAGCACUGUUUCGGCUAGGGGGCCAUCCCGGCUUACCAACCCGAUGCAAACUGCGAAUACCGGAGAAUGUUAUCACGGGAGACACACGGCGGGUGCUAACGUCCGUCGUGAAGAGGGAAACAACCCAGACCGCCAGCUAAGGUCCCAAAGUCAUGGUUAAGUGGGAAACGAUGUGGGAAGGCCCAGACAGCCAGGAUGUUGGCUUAGAAGCAGCCAUCAUUUAAAGAAAGCGUAAUAGCUCACUGGUCGAGUCGGCCUGCGCGGAAGAUGUAACGGGGCUAAACCAUGCA